rnacentral:rRNA from 1 species
GAUGAACGCUAGCGGCAGGCCUAACACAUGCAAGUCGAGGGAGAAGCCCUUUCGGGGGCAGAAACCGGCGCACGGGUGCGUAACGCGUAUGCAACCUACCUUUCACAGGGGGAUAGCCCGAAGAAAUUUGGAUUAAUACCCCAUAAUAUUAUUGGAUGGCAUCAUUUGAUAAUUAAAACUGCGGUGGUGAAAGAUGGGCAUGCGUCCUAUUAGCUAGUUGGAGUGGUAACGGCACCCCAAGGCUACGAUAGGUAGGGGUCCUGAGAGGGAGAUCCCCCACACUGGUACUGAGACAGGGACCAGACUCCUACGGGAGGCAGCAGUGAGGAAUAUUGGUCAAUGGUCGGAAGACUGAACCAGCCAUGCCGCGUGCAGGAAGAAUGCCUUAUGGGUUGUAAACUGCUUUUAUAUGGGAAGAAUAAGGCGUACGUGUACGUUGAUGACGGUACCAUAUGAAUAAGCAUCGGCUAACUCAGUG